GCCUCCUUCUGCGCUUAUACAGGACUUGAGCAGGAACCUGUUGUUUUAGGAGGCAGUGACCUUUGAGGAUGUGGCUGUGUACUUCACCCAGAAUCAGUGGGCCAGUCUGGAGCCUGCACAGAAGGCUCUGUACCAGGAGGUGAUGUUGGAAAAUUAUGCGAACAUAACUUCUUUGGGUAAGUCCUCUUCCUCUGAAACUUAGCUUCUGCCUUUGGGGCUCCUAGAUUCUCCCUUAGCAGAUCUGGGAUCUUUAAUAUCCCCAGGAUUAAUGACCCAUGAGCUGAGCUCCCUAAUUCCCAGUUUCAGGAGUAGCUGAAUGGAGAAAGAUCUGGAUUCACUUUGGUUUUUAACAGGACUUCCCUGUUGGCUGGUUCCUGGUGGGGACUGUACUGUGAGGGGUUUGCUCUGGGAGCAGAGAGAACUGAGAAGGUUCCUGGUGCCCCACCUUCAUUCCUCCAGUCUUCCCGUUCCCUGGAGGAGACCCGGGCCCAUCUACUGUGUGUGUGAGUCUCCUAGGACCCCAGGUAUACACUUCCAGUGACUGUGGGUACUUCCUGUUCUCUCAGAGGCUAGAAUAAGCUAUGAGCCCUUCCUUAGAUCCCCAGAUUCUCUCCUCAUGAACCUCACUUGGUCUCCUGGGCAUCUGCCUCUUUGUUCACCUGGCAAAGCAGAGGGUAGACUGAGGGAGGUUGGUGGUGACUCUCUCAGCUUCCUGUUCCUUUUCUUUCUCCUUUAGCAGCAUUACCAUUCCCUAAACCAGAUCUGAUAUUCCAGCUGGAGCGAGGGGAAGCCCCAUGGGUCCCAGAUUCAUGGAGACCUGUUGGGGAAGAGGCCCUUGGAGGCAGGUGCACAGGUGAGCAGGAGAACAGACCAUCUUCUUUUCCAGCUUUGACUCUUGUGUGUCUGUCUGUUUCUCUUUCUCUUUUUGUUUUUGUAGUAGCUGGGAUUGAACCCGGUGAAUUGUAUCCCUAACCCUUUUUAUUUUUUGACUUUGAGACAGGGUCUCCCUAAGUUGCCCAGGCUGGCCUCAAACUUGGGAUUUCCCCACCCCAUCCUACUGAGUAUCUGGGAAUAUAGAUAUGUGCCACUGCACCCAGCUACUUCUCUUUUGAUAUUUUAACAUGAGAUGAAAGAGGUAUUUCUUCGGAACCAUGGCUGUUGUGGGAUGAAAAUAGUCAUGCUUCAGCUCUAAACUAGAAG
rnacentral:lncRNA from 1 species